AGCCUGGUUACCUGACAGGAGACUGUCUCAAACAAGGCGAGAAGAGACGAGACUGCCUUCUGACCUCCACAUGGGCUGCAACCAUGGAAUGCGUGUGAGCACACACAGGCACUGGCAAGAUGUCUCAUGGGUAAAUGGCUUGCCACCAGCCCAGAUGGCCUGCUUGAUUCCAUGAACACACACAGUGGAAGAAAAGAACCAAUUCCCUGAGUUGUCCCCUGACACACGUGAGGACCCCCCACCCCAACACGCACUCACAGAAUGUAAAAAGAAGCCGCUGAGUUCGAGGUCAGACUGCUCUAUAGAGUGAGUUCUAGGACGACCAGGGCUACACAGAGAAAGUCUGUUUUGAAAAACAAAAACAAAUAAAAAAAUCAAACAACAAAAUCUCCCAAACAGCCAGGCAGUGGUGGCGCACACCUUUAAUCCCAGCACUCGGGAGGCAGAGGCAGGCAGAUCUCUGAGUUGGAGGCCAGCCUGGUCUACAGAGUGAGUUCCAGGACAGCCAGGGCUACACAGAGAAACCCUGUCUCAAAAAACAAAAACAAAAACAAACAAAAAAAAUCCCCCAAACAAACAAACAAAAGACAAAGAAAUAACUGAAAGUCUGGGGAUUCAGCAAGGUGGUAGAGCAUCCUGGAAAUAACAGGCCUUCCAGAUAACUAGCCCCUAAUUAGGAGAGGGCUGACAUGAACCUGAUACAGGCUUCCUGCCUGAGUGUAGGAGCAUCCUCACUACUGCCAAGUCUUACUGUCACAUCUUUUUGUUUGUUUGUUUGUUUGUUUUUCAAGACAGGGUUUCUCUGUGUAGCCCCUGGCUGUCCUGGAACUCACUCUAUAGCCCAGGCUGGCCUCGAACUCAGAAAUCUGCCUGUCUCUGCCUCCCAAGUGCUGGAACUAAAGGCAUGUGCCACAACUGCCUGGCUUACUGUCACAUCUUAAUUUAGCUUCUAAUUUUUUUUUUUUUUUUGAGACACGGUUUCACUUAACCCAGGCUGGCCUUGAGCUCUUGGUCCUCCUCAUCCCCUCUCCCAAACACUGAGAUUACAGGCAUCGUAUGCUACAAAAAACAAACAAACAAAAAACACUUUAAUCCCAACAGGGGAGACAGGCUGGAGAGAUGAUGAUUCGGUGGUUAAGAACACUGGCUACUCUUUCAGAGGUCUUGAGUUCAAUUCCCAGCAACCACAUGGUGACUCACAACCAUCUAUGCUGGGAUCUUAUGCCCUCUUCUGGCACGCCGGUGUACAUUCAGACAGAGCAUUCAUAAACAUAAUAUAAAUAAAUAUGUAAAGUGUUAUUUUAAAAGAUUUAUUUAUUUCAUGUAUGUGACGACACUGUUGCUCUCUUCAGACACACCAGAAAAGGGCAUUGGAUCCCAUUACAGAUGGUUGUGAGCCACCAUGUGGUUGCUGGGAUUUGAACUCAGGACCUUUGGAAGAGCAGUCAGUGCUCUUAACCGCUGAGCCAUCUCUCUAGCCCCAUAAAGUAUUUUUUUAGAGGCUUCUACAGGGGAGAUAGUCUUGAAGAUCUGAGUCUACAUGGUGAGUUCAAGUGUGUGUGUGUGUGUGUGUGUGUGUGUGUGUGUAGAUGUUAGAAGAGUCCAGAAUGUUGGAUCCCUUAGAGCUAAAGUUACAGAACCUUCCAACAUGGGUGGGUUCUGGGAACUCGUUCUGAAACACUAAGCCCCCACCAUCUAAUAAAUAUCUGUUUAUUACAU
rnacentral:lncRNA from 1 species